UACGGAGGGUGCAAGCGUUAUCCGGAUUCACUGGGUUUAAAGGGUGCGUAGGUUGACCGGGAAGUCAGUGGUGAAAUACUCUCGCUUAACGAGAGAACUGCCGUUGAUACUAUCGGUCUUGAAUACGGUGGAGGCGGGCGGAAUGUGUCAUGUAGUAGUGAAAUACUUAGAGAUGACACAGAACACCUAUUGCGAAGGCAGCUCGCUACGCCGUCAUUGACACUGAGGCACGAAAGCGUGGGGAUCAAACAGG
rnacentral:rRNA from 1 species